GACGAACGCUGGCGGCGUGCUUAACACAUGCAAGUCGAACGCUGAAGCUCAGCUUUUGUUGGGUGGAUGAGUGGCGAACGGGUGAGUAACACGUGAGUAACCUGCCUCCUUCUUUGGGAUAACGCCCGGAAACGGGUGCUAAUACUGGAUAUUCACUGGUCUUCGCAUGGGGGUUGGUGGAAAGGGUUUUUUUGGUGGGGGAUGGGCUCGCGGCCUAUCGGCUUGUUGGUGGGGUGAUGGCCUACCAAGGCUUUGACGGGUAGCCGGCCUGAGAGGGUGACCGGUAACAUUGGGACUGAGAUACGGCCCAGACUCGUACGGGAGGCAGCAGUGGGGAAUAUUGCACAAUGGGCGCAAGCCUGAUGCAGCGACGCCGCGUGAGGGAUGGAGGCCUUCGGGUUGCGAACCUCUUUCGCUAAUGGUCAAGCCGCAACAAUGGUUGUGGUGAGGGUAGUGGGUAAAGAAGCGCCGGCUAACUACGUG
rnacentral:rRNA from 1 species